rnacentral:siRNA from 1 species
GCUUCGGCGGUGCUCAGCUC